CGGAGGGAUCAUUACUGAGUUUACGCUCUAUAACCCUUUGUGAACAUACCUAUAACUGUUGCUUCGGCGGGUAGGGUCUCCGUGACCCUCCCGGCCUCCCGCCCCCGGGCGGGUCGGCGCCCGCCGGAGGAUAACCAAACUCUGAUUUAACGACGUUUCUUCUGAGUGGUACAAGCAAAUAAUCAAAACUUUUAACAACGGAUCUCUUGGUUCUGGCAUCGAUGAAGAACGCAGCGAAAUGCGAUAAGUAAUGUGAAUUGCAGAAUUCAGUGAAUCAUCGAAUCUUUGAACGCACAUUGCGCCCGCCAGCAUUCUGGCGGGCAUGCCUGUUCGAGCGUCAUUUCAACCCUCAAGCUCUGCUUGGUGUUGGGGCCCUACAGCUGAUGUAGGCCCUCAAAGGUAGUGGCGGACCCUCCCGGAGCCUCCUUUGCGUAGUAACUUUACGUCUCGCACUGGGAUCCGGAGGGACUCUUGCCGUAAAACCCCCAAUUUUCCAAAGGUUGACCUCGGAUCAGGUAGGAAUACCCGCUGAACUUAAGCAUAUCAAUAAGCGGAGGAAAAGAAACCAACAGGGAUUGCCUCAGUAACGGCGAGUGAAGCGGCAACAGCUCAAAUUUGAAAUCUGGCCCUAGGCCCGAGUUGUAAUUUGCAGAGGAUGCUUUUGG
rnacentral:rRNA from 1 species